rnacentral:rRNA from 1 species
CCUACGGGAGGCAGCAGUAGGGAAUUUUCGGCAAUGGGGGGAACCUUGACCGAGCAACGCCGCGUGAACGAAGAAGGUAUUCGUAAUGUAAAGCUCUUUUAACAGGGAAGAAAGAGAAAUUUGACGGUACCUGAAGAAUAAGCUCCGGCUAACUACGUGCCAGCAGCCGCGGUAAUACGCAGGGAGCGAGCGUUAUCCGGAAUUAUUGGGCGUAAAGGGUGCGUAGAUGGCAUAGUAAGUCUUUUGUAAAAAUGCUGGGCUCAACCCAGGAGGGCAAAUGAUACUGGAAGGCUAGAGUAUGACAGAGGUAAGUGGAACUAGAGGUGUAGCGGUGAAAUGCGUAGAUAU